ACACGUCAUACAAUGGCUGGUACAAAGGGUUGCCAACUCGCGAGGGGGAGCCAAUCCCAAUAAAGCCAGUCGUAGUCCGGAUCGCAGUCUGCAACUCGACUGCGUGAAGUCGGAAUCGCUAGUAAUCGUGGAUCAGCAUGUCACGGUGAAUACGUUCCCGGGUCGUU
rnacentral:rRNA from 1 species